rnacentral:rRNA from 1 species
UACGAAGGGGGGCUAGCGUUUGCUCGGAAUCACUGGGCGUAAAGCGCACGUAGGCGGCUUUCUAAGUCAGGGGUGAAAUCCUGGAGCUCAACUCCAGAACUGCCUUUGAUACUGGAGAGCUUGAGUCCGGAAGAGGUGAGUGGAACUCCGAGUGUAGAGGUGAAAUUCGUAGAUAUUCGGAAGAACACCAGUGGCGAAGGCGGCUCACUGGUCCGGUACUGACGCUGAGGUACGAAAGCGUGGGGAGCAAACAGGG